rnacentral:rRNA from 1 species
GUCMKGCAGCGAGCGUUGUUCGGAGUUACUGGGCGUAAAGCGUGCGUAGGCGGCGGCCCAAGUCUGGUGUGAAAUCUCCCGGCUUAACCGGGAGGGUGCGCUAGAAACUGGGUUGCUGGAGUACCGGAGAGGCAGGCGGAAUUCCUGGUGUAGCGGUGAAAUGCGUAGAUAUCAGGAGGAACACCCGUGGUGUAGACGGCCUGCUGGACGGUCACUGACGCUGAGGCACGAAAGCGUGGGGAGCAAACAGGAUUAGAUACCCUGGUAGUCCACGCCCUAAACGAUGCAUACUUGGUGUGGGCAGUUCAGUCUGUCCGUGCCGAAGCUAACGCGAUAAGUAUGCCGCCUGGGGAGUACGGUCGCAAGGCUG